GUGUCAGCCGCCGCGGUAAUACGGAGGGUGCGAGCGUUAAUCGGAAUUACUGGGCGUAAAGCGCAUGCAGGUGGUUUGUUAAGUCAGAUGUGAAAGCCCGGGGCUCAACCUCGGAAUUGCAUUUGAAACUGGCAGGCUAGAGUACUGUAGAGGGGGGUAGAAUUUCAGGUGUAGCGGUGAAAUGCGUAGAGAUCUGAAGGAAUACCGGUGGCGAAGGCGGCCCCCUGGACAGAUACUGACACUCAGGUGCAAAAGCGUGGGGAGCAAACAGGAUUAGAUACCCGGGUAGUCC
rnacentral:rRNA from 1 species